rnacentral:lncRNA from 1 species
UCAGGGUUCUUCAUACGAUGAGAAAUUUAGGAAUGUGAAGAUUGGUGGUUUUUCAAUUUUUGGGGAAAAUGAUUUUAAGUUGAUGUAUGCCAAAAAGCAACAAUGGAAGAAAGAAAGAAAGAAAAACCGCGUUCUAAUUUGAUGUUAACUGUGAAUUUUGAUUUUUUACUUAUUAAGCUAUGGCGGCGCUUUCAACCGUCGCCAUACAUUAACACAAUACUUUUAGCAGCAGUUCCAGAACCGCCGCUAUAAACGAUAUUACAAAAAAAAAAAUUAAAAAAUCU